CUGGCCGUGGCGCAGGUGGUGCUGUCGACGCUCGAGGUGGCGACGAUGGCGGCGGCGCUGUGGGUCCUGCUGCCCGUCGGCCUGG
rnacentral:tRNA from 1 species